AACGAACGCUGGCGGCAUGCCUAACACAUGCAAGUCGAACGAGACCUUCGGGUCUAGUGGCGCACGGGUGCGUAACGCGUGGGAACCUGCCCUUAGGUUCGGAAUAACUCCCCGAAAGGGGUGCUAAUACCGGAUAAUGUCUUCGGACCAAAGAUUUAUCGCCUUUGGAUGGGCCCGCGUUGGAUUAGCUAGUUGGUAGGGUAAAAGCCUACCAAGGCGACGAUCCAUAGCUGGUCUGAGAGGAUGAUCAGCCACACUGGGACUGAGACACGGCCCAGACUCGUACGGGAGGCAGCAGUGGGGAAUAUUGGACAAUGGGCGAAAGCCUGAUCCAGCAAUGCCGCGUGAGUGAUGAAGGCCUUAGGGUUGUAAAGCUCUUUGACCCGGGAUGAUAAUGACAGUACCGGGAGAAUAAGCUCCGGCUAACUACGUG
rnacentral:rRNA from 1 species